rnacentral:rRNA from 1 species
UACGUAGGGUGCAAGCGUUAAUCGGAAUUACUGGGCGUAAAGCGUGCGCAGGCGGUUAUUCAAGACAGAUGUGAAAUCCCCGGGCUCAACCUGGGAACUGCAUUUGUGACUGCAUAGCUAGAGUACGGUAGAGGGGGAUGGAAUUCCGCGUGUAGCAGUGAAAUGCGUAGAUAUGCGGAGGAACACCGAUGGCGAAGGCAAUCCCCUGGGCCUGCACUGACGCUCAUGCACGAAAGCGUGGGGAGCAAACAGG